rnacentral:rRNA from 1 species
AACGAACGCUGGCGGCAGGCUUAACACAUGCAAGUCGAACGGGCGUAGCAAUACGUCAGUGGCGGACGGGUGAGUAACACGUGGGAAUAUGCCUUUCGGUUCGGAACAACUCGGGGAAACUCGUGCUAAUUCCCGGAUACGCCCUUACGGGGAAAGAUUUAUCGCCGAAAGAUUAGCCCGCGUUGGAUUAGCUAGUUGGUGAGGUAAAGGCUCACCAAGGCGACGAUCCAUAGCUGGUUUGAGAGAACGACCAGCCACACU